CAGUUAUUAGUAAAUACUGAUUUAUUAUUUGGCUUGUGAUUCAAGACAGAUUGAUUACUCGAAUGCAAAUGGCCUUCAUGGGGGAUUACUGUUGAUGUCUCUUGUCUGAUGUGUAGUGAUGGAAUUGAUAAAAUUAAUCAUUUAUUUGUGGGAUGUCAAUAUGUGAAGCAGAUCAGGGAUUAUUGUUUGGGAAAGAAGGUUGUUUGCUCUGACCGGUAGAAAAAUAUCUUGAGUGCAGCUAAUGAACACUCUGACUGUUCAGCAAACUCAGAAAGUUUUAGAUUGAUGUGGAAAGCAAUUUACAGUAACAUAUGGUAUGAAAGAUAUAGGAGGAAUGCAGGUGAAUGUCAUACUUUGGCUAUAGAUACAACAAGAAAGAUUUGUAGGGAGGUGAAAAUUGUAAAUAGUUAAUAGUGAAUAGGUAGUUGCUUGUUUCUUGUGAACAGAUCCUUAUUUGGAUUUUUUGGGCGGG
rnacentral:lncRNA from 1 species